rnacentral:rRNA from 1 species
CCCUUAGAUGUUCUGGGCUGCACACGUGCUACACUGGCAGGUUCAGCGAGCUUCAUGCCCUGAUCUGAAAGGAAUGGGAAAUCUUUUCAAAACCUGCCGUGCUUGGGAUAGAUGUUUGCAAUUAUUCAUCUUCAACGAGGAUUGCCUUGUAAGCGCAUGUCAUCAGCAUGCAUUGAAUACGACCCUGUAUUCUGUACACACCGCCCGUCGCUCCAUCCGUGGCAUGCGCCGGUGAAGAGGGGGAGGCAGCGUCGGCCGUGUAACAGCGGAUCGUACGUGGAACCCCUCUGAACCUUCGCACGUAGAGGAAGGAGAAGUCGUAACA